UUACGGUCACAUCACAUUGAAACACCGGUUCCCGUACGAUCACCGGACGUAAGCAAUGUCGAGCUUGGUCAGUACGUAGAUGGGUGACCACUUGGGAAUACAAGGUGCUGUAAG